GCACCUGUAACUCAGUGGAUAAAGCAUAUGUUUCUUAAGCAGUGGUCAUUGGUUCGACCCCUGUCUAGCGCA
rnacentral:tRNA from 1 species